AGUGAACGCUGGCGGUAGGCCUAACACAUGCAAGUCGAACGGCAGCACAGUAAGAGCUUGCUCUUACGGGUGGCGAGUGGCGGACGGGUGAGGAAUACAUCGGAAUCUACUUUUUCGUGGGGGAUAACGUAGGGAAACUUACGCUAAUACCGCAUACGACCUACGGGUGAAAGCAGGGGAUCUUCGGACCUUGCGCGAUUGAAUGAGCCGAUGUCGGAUUAGCUAGUUGGCGGGGUAAGGGCCCACCAAGGCGACGAUCCGUAGCUGGUCUGAGAGGAUGAUCAGCCACACUGGAACUGAGACACGGUCCAGACUCCUACGGGAGGCAGCAGUGGGGAAUAUUGGACAAUGGGCGAAAGCCUGAUCCAGCCAUACCGCGUGGGUGAAGAAGGCCUUCGGGUUGUAAAGCCCUUUUGUUGGGAAAGAAAAGCAGCAGGUUAAUACCCCGCUGUUCUGACGGUACCCAAAGAAUAAGCACCGGCUAACUUCGUG
rnacentral:rRNA from 1 species